rnacentral:rRNA from 1 species
UACGUAGGGGGCAAGCGUUGUCCGGAUUUACUGGGCGUAAAGAGCGCGUAGGCGGAGCGUUAAGUCCGGUUUGAAAGCCCCCGGCUCAACCGGGGAGAGUGGCUGGAAACUGGCGUUCUGGAGGGCGAUAGAGGAGAGUGGAAUUCCUGGUGUAGCGGUGAAAUGCGUAGAUAUCAGGAGGAACACCCGUGGCGAAGGCGGCUCUCUGGAUCGACCUGACGCUGAGGCGACGAAGCGUGGGGAGCGAACGGG